ACCUCGGUGGUGUAAUAGUGGUCAAGGCGCUCGCCUGGUAAACAGGAGGGCGUGGGUUCAAUCCCAGCCGAGGUA
rfam:Asian citrus Psyllid, Diaphorina citri - Florida Strain, whole genome shotgun sequence.